rnacentral:rRNA from 1 species
GACGAACGCUGGCGGCGUGCUUAACACAUGCAAGUCGAACGGAAAGGCCCUGCUUGCGUGGGGUGCUCGAGUGGCGAACGGGGGAGUAACACGUGAGUAACCUGCCCUUGACUUUGGGAUAACUUCAGGAAACUGGGGCUAAUACCGGAUAGGAGAUCCUGCUGCAUGGUGGGGGUUGGAAAGUUUCGGCGGUUGGGGAUGGACUGGCGGCUGAGCAGCUAGGUGGUGGGGUAGUGGCUGGCCAAGGCUUUGACGGGUAGCCGGCCUGAGAGGGUGACCGGCCACACUGGCACUGAGACACGGUCCAGACUCCUACGGGAGGCAGCAGUGGGGAAUAUUGGACAAUGGGCGCAAGCCUGAUCCAGCCAGACCGCGUGUGUGAAGAAGGCCUUCGGGUUGUAAAGCCCUUUUGUUGGGAAAGAAAAGCAGCAGGUUAAUACCCCGCUGUUCUGACGGUACCCAAAGAAUAAGCACCGGCUAACUUCGUG